UUAUCAAAACUGCAAAUCAUAUAAAAUUUGUGGCCAAUCUGUAUCCAAAAAUCUAGACUUACUGAUUGUAGCCUCCAAAGCUCGAAUGACCUCAAAAUAAAAUCCUAAUCUCUAAUAAGGCCUCGAGCAACCUCCUUGAAAUUCAUUGGACAUGGCCUUUGACUAGACAUUGAGUCAAGCAAUUGACUUUAUCGUGAAGUAUGACAAUUGUCUUUUUGAAUUUCAAUAUAAGAAUUAUACAAGAAAACUUCCACAUUAUUACAAUUCAAUAACAACACCAACAACGAACUCCCCACCUUCCAAGUAGCUCUGGGCUUAGUUGAAUGGAUUUCGUGCGAGAUCCUUGUAACCAGCAAUUCACGCUCAGAGUCGAUGCACGAUGUGCUUGAGAUCAGCCUGAUCUUGAAACUUCCUCCGCCAGCCCACUCGUCCAUCUUGGCGACGAUGUACGUAAAAACAAAUUCAGAAGCGACCCUUCACGCGGCAACAAUUGCCCAAGGACAUUGCCUAGGCCACCACGGCAACAACACGCCUCGCUCCUCAGAAUAAAGAUACCGCAACACUCAGUCACAAUUUUUUUUUUUUUUUUUUUUUUUUUUUUGCAGCCUCCAAAGCCCAGACAAUCCACAUGAGCAAAAUAAAAUUACGGUCGAGAUCUACGCAACCCAACGCACUAGGCAACGACCACUUCAACAAUCGUGUUGUGAAUUACCACCAAUAACAACACUGGGUGCAUUCAACAACAUCAGAGGCCCCGGUGCUUGUAAAGUUUACAUACAGAUCUAUAGCGAUGCGUCGAUACACCCUCUGCAACCUCAACCAGCUACAAAAUAAUGAAAACCACCAUAAACUACUCACGACAUUCGCCUUCUUCCUGCCUCUACUAGAUUAAUCACGCUGAUCUUGAUCCUUGAACACGUCACUGUGAUCACGCUAUGGUCACCAAUUUUUUCUACCUUUCUCGCUCUCUCCAUACCCUCUCCCGUGCAUCAAGUUCAAGCCUGCAGAAUAGUCGAUCUCGACAAAAUAUUACGGUUGUUGUUGCAGCCUCCUUUGCUGCUUGUGAGCUCGUUGCCUCUCCAGCCAGCACCAAUCGCCUUAGCCAGCAAUACUGAUUUCAAGCUGGACAUCACCCAUUGAGAAUAGAACGAGAAAAUAAAAACUUGGGGGUGCCCAAGUACCACCUUCUUGGCAGCCACUCGUCGAGCUAACCACCGUAGCCAACCACUACUCCACGGCGCAGGAGGGACCCUCGAUUCUCGACGGAAUGUAAUGAACAACAAACAAAACAGUGACAAAAUGCCACGAUAAUCGCAGCGUCGAACAAGAACUUCACGUUGAUGACCAAAAACAGGCAAGAUGAUUCUGCAGCACCUCAACCGCACACAGUGAAGAUACUCUAGCUACAACCUCCGCCGGAUCAAAGAGCCCCCCUGGACGGCAGCUCGUCGUCACGCCACAGCGCAAGGACUGCCGCUCCAGCUUCGCGAAUCUGCGCACCCUCGACGUCGUCGUGGAAGCAACACCACAUACGAGGGCUUCGUCGAUCCACUCAGUAGCAGCACGAAGCCAGUUCAACACCGAGUCUUGCCCACCGGUUCAGUCGCCACGAAACAGAAAAAAGACUACAUCAAUGUCGAAUCCACUACGAAUUGGCCUCGUGGCAAGUCCAGCGAAAAAUCAAUCAUGACAGAAUGUGGUCUAUGCCACAAUCGCAGCAAAAAAAGAAAACACGCUAAACACACAUGAAAAGUAAUAGAGAUCCGCCUAAUGCAGAGCUCUUCUCCAACACACACAAUAGGGAGAGAAAAA
rnacentral:lncRNA from 1 species